AACGUGCCCAGUAGCGGGGGAUAACUACUAGAAAGAGUGGCUAAUACCGCAUACGCCCUACGGGGGAAAGGGGGGGAUCGCAAGACCUCUCACUAUUGGAGCGGCCGAUAUCGGAUUAGCUAGUUGGUGGGGUAAAGGCUCACCAAGGCAACGAUCCGUAGCUGGUUUGAGAGGACGACCAGGCCACACUGGGACUGAGACACGGCCCAAACUCCUACGGGAGGCAGCAGUGGGGAAUUUUGGACAAUGGGGGAAACCCUGAUCCAGCCAUCCCGCGUGUAUGAUGAAGGCCUUCGGGUUGUAAAGUACUUUUGGCAGAGAAGAAAAGGUAUCCCCUAAUACGGGAUACUGCUGACGGUAUCUGCAGAAUAAGCACCGGCUAACUACGUGCCAGCAGCCGCGGUAAUACGUAGGGUGCAAGCGUUAAUCGGAAUUACUGGGCGUAAAGCGUGUGUACGCGGUUCGGAAAGAAAGAUGUGAAAUCCCAGGGCUCAACCUUGGAACUGCGUUUUUAACUGCCGAGCUAGAGUAUGUCAGAGGGGGGUAGAAUUCCACGUGUAGCAGUGAAAUGCGUAAAUAUGUGGAGGAAUACCGAUGGCGAAGGCAGCCCCCUGGGAUAAUACUGACGCUCAGACACUAAGGCGUGGGGACCAAACAGGAUUAGAUACCCUGGUAGUCCACGCCCUAAACGAUGUCAACUAGCUGUUGGGGCCGUUAGGCCUUAUUACCGCAGCUAACGCGUGAAGUUGACCCCCUGGGGAGUACUGUCGCAAGAUUAAAACUCAAAGGAAUUGACGGGGACCCGCACAGCCUCUGGAUGAUGUGUAUUAAUUCGAUGCAACGCGAAAAACCUUACCUACCCUUGACAUGUCUGGA
rnacentral:rRNA from 1 species